AGACUUUGAUCCUGGCUCAGGACGAACGCUGGCGGCAGGCUUAACACAUGCAAGUCGAACGCACCUUCGGGUGAGUGGCAGACGGGUGAGUAACGCGUGGGAAUCUACCUUUUGGUACGGAAUAGCUCCGGGAAACUGGAAUUAAUACCGUAUGUGCCCUUUGGGGGAAAGAUUUAUCGCCAAGAGAUGAGCCUAGGUCGGAUUAGCUAGUUGGUGAGGUAAAGGCUCACCAAGGCGACGAUCCGUAGCUGGUCUGAGAGGAUGAUCAGCCACACUGGAACUGAGACACGGUCCAGACUCCUACGGGAGGCAGCAGUGGGGAAUAUGGGACAAUGGGCGAAAGCCUGAUCCAGCCAUGCCGCGUGUGUGAAGAAAGUCUUAGUGUUGCAAAGCCUCUUUCACCCGCGAAGAUGAUGACCGGUAGCCGGGAGAAGGAGCCCCCGGCUAACUCC
rnacentral:rRNA from 1 species